CUGUUUUAUAUACAAAAAAUUAUGCAUUGGUAUUAAACUAACUUAAUUAUAACACUUUUAUUCAAAAUUCUAACUUAUUUAUAACAUUUUUAUUAAAAAUUUUAACUUAUUUAUAACAUUUUUAUUAAAAAUUAAAUAUAUAUAUAUAUAAAUUACGCACUAAUCAUUUGAAUAGUACAACACCUUUUUUUAAAGUUUGUUUUUUUUUUUUUUUUGAAGCCUUUUUUCAAGCUUUUUUUAUUUUUUUAAUUUGUUACUUUGGUUAUGCCAUUGUAACGUUUAACUAAUUUAACUUAGAUUUAUGAUAAUUUGAUUGGUAAUAAUAAAGCACACUUUUCACUUAUAUAUAUAUAUAUAUAUAUAUAUAUAUAUAUAUAUAUAUAUAUAUNNNNNNNNNNUAUAUAUAUAUAUAUAUAUAUAUAUAUAUAUAUAUAUAUAUAUAUAUUAAAAUGUCUUAUUAUUCAUUUGAAACAAUAAAUACGUAUACAAACAAAACGCUAAUAUAUGCAUAUUUGUAAAACAUUUUAAUCAGUAAUCCUUUUCAAGUAAAUUUCCUAACUCUGUUUGUGAUUUUAUAUCUUUACAACUACAACCAUGCACUAUUUCUCCGUUUUUUAAAACAUAAAUAAAGUCACAACAAGAUAGUGUAUUUGUGUCAUGUGAAAUUAUUAAAACAGUAUUAUUAGGGAAAUAAUUUUUUAUAAUAUAAUUAAAUGGCUUUGCAUCCUGAACCAAAAAAUUAGUUACAUUUGGAUUGACCUUAUUAAAAGUGAAAAUGGGAAUUUCAUCAAUUAAUAUCAAUUUAUAUUUAUUCCUGUUUAAAAAAAGUCGAACUAAUGAUAAAUAUCUUAUAGAAUCAUCUGUUAAAGAAAUUGUAUUAUGAAAAGCAUUUAUUUUUUUCCUCUCUCUCUUUUCUUUUUCUUCUUCUUCUUCUUCUUUUUUUUUAUUAUAUUUUUUCACUUGUUUCUCAUUUUUAUUUUCCAAAUAGUCAUUUUCAUGACCUGUUUUGAUAAACUCUUCCAAUCUUUGUACACAACACAUUUCUUUUUCCACAAAUGUGUAAUCAUACAACAUUGUUUUUAUAGAACCACUAAUUCUAGUUGAUAAAACCAUGCAAUAUAUAACAUCAUUUAUCAUUUUCCUAUAAACAUUUUCUUCAUAUAAAAUAUUCAAUUUUUUAUAAAUUAUAUAUGGAUACAUAAUAAAAUAAAUAGUUAAUAAUAAAGUGAUAAUUCU
rnacentral:lncRNA from 1 species